rnacentral:rRNA from 1 species
CCUACGGGGGGCUGCAGUGGGGGAUAUUGCACAAUGGGGGGAACCCUGAUGCAGCGACGCCGCGUGGGUGAAGGAGCGUUUCGGCGCGAAAAGCCCUAUCGGCAGGGAAGAAGGAGGACGGUACCUGACUAAGAAGCCCCGGCUAACUACGUGGCAGCAGCCGCGGUAAUACGUAGGGGGCAAGCGUUAUCCGGAUUUACUGGGUGUAAAGGGGGCGCAGACGGCAGCGCAAGCCAGGAGUGAAAGCCCGGGGGCCAACCCCGGGACUGCUCUUGGAACUGCGCGGCUGGAGUGCAGGAGGGGCAGGCGGAAUUCCUGGUGUAGCGGUGAAAUGCGUAGAUAUCAGGAGGAACACCGGUGGCGAAGGCGGCCUGCUGGACUGCGACUGACGUUGAGGCCCGAAAGCGUGGGGAGCAAACAGGAUUAGAUACCCCAGUAGUC